rnacentral:ncRNA from 4 species
UUAGAUUCAGUGAAAAAGAGAGUAGAUAUGGAGAAAAUCUCAGCGAAUUGGGGAUGGUGUGAGCCUAAUGAUAACACUUUAUAUUGAAAAGAACUUUGGAGAAUACUACUUGAAAUUCAGUAUGGUAGUAGGUAAUCUCGCCUUAAGAGAAUAGAGUGGGUAAACAUUGUUUGCCAACUAGAGUGGUAACACGGAAUAUUUCGUCUCUUGG